UAGUACGGCGAGUGAACCGGGAAGAGCUCAAAUUUGAAAUCUGGCGUCCUCAGGGCGUCCGAGUUGUAAUCUAUAGAGGCGUUUUCCGUGCCGGACCGUGUCCAAGUCCCUUGGAACAGGGUAUCAAAGAGGGUGACAAUCCCGUACUUGACACGACUACCGGUGCUCUGUGAUACGUCUUCUACGAGUCGAGUUGUUUGGGAAUGCAGCUCAAAAUGGGUGGUGAGUUCCAUCUAAAGCUAAAUAUUGGCGAGAGACCGAUAGCGAACAAGUACCGUGAGGGAAAGAUGAAAAGCACUUUGGAAAGAGAGUUAAACAGUACGUGAAAUUGUUGAAAGGGAAACGAUUGAAGUCAGUCGUGACCGAGAGGCUCAGCCGGCUCUGCCGGUGUAUUCCCCUCGGUCGGGUCAACAUCAGUUUUGUCCGGUGGAUAAGGGCGGCAGGAAUGUGGCACCCUCGGGUGUGUUAUAGCCUGCUGUCGCAUACACCGGGUGAGACUGAGGAACGCAGCUCGCCUUUAUGGCCGGGGCCCGCCCACGUACGAGCUUAGGAUGUUGACGUAAUGGCUUUAAACGACCCGCUA
rnacentral:rRNA from 1 species